UUUUUCUCGGAUUAAAGGUCGAGCGCAAGAAUAAGAGCUCGUCAAGGAGUCACUAAUCUGUAGCAAAGCUUUGCUAUCAGGUUGAGCAGCUGCCGAUGGUGAUGAAGUGACGAGCGGGACUCUUUUGUCUUAUUAUGUAUUAAUGAACUCUAGGGUUACAUGUCUUCAUACAUGUAAUCAGAACCUUAUUCCGCUGCGUACUCAGAAGUUUUAUGUUAUUUUGGAUAAGUCGGAGUUAUCCGAACUUGUUAGUUAUUUGAGUCUAUACGACAAAAACUCUGUUAUAUUAUAGAUAUCCAUGUUGUUAACAAUGAUGAAAUACGAUCCUUUCUUGUUUGAUUA